CACCUUUUGAUCGAGAUCUUCAGCACAGUCAAUGAUGGGGUGAGAUGAAGAGAUUCAUGUAGAUGUACAGAGGAGGAGCCAAAUCUGCUGUUAGAUGGUAAGAUUUAAUCAAAUUAGGUUUUAGAGAGAGAAAAGAGAGCAGAGCUUCACACACCUGCUGAGAACAUCAAGAUGAAUCGUGUAUUUCUGGUCCUGGGCUUCGUCCUGAUCAUGGCGCUCUACUCAGACGCUAACCUAGCUAUACAAGUUUUUGGAGAAGUCGAGGCUUGCUGUUUCAACUUCUUCAAUGGAAAAAUUCCUCCCACACACAUCCUGCAGGUUAACCGGACAGGCUCACACUGUCCACAGCAAGGCUUCAUUGUUGCUACUCCUGAA